rnacentral:rRNA from 1 species
CCUACGGGAGGCAGCAGUGAGGAAUAUUGGUCAAUGGGCGGAAGCCUGAACCAGCCAAGUCGCGUGAGGGAAUAAGGCCCUACGGGUCGUAAACCUCUUUUGUCGGGGAGCAACGAGGCCACGUGUGGCCGAAGUGAGAGUACCCGAAGAAAAAGCAUCGGCUAACUCCGUGCCAGCAGCCGCGGUAAUACGGAGGAUGCGAGCGUUAUCCGGAUUUAUUGGGUUUAAAGGGUGCGUAGGCGGAACAUUAAGUCAGCGGUAAAAUCGAGGGGCUCAACCCCUUUAAGCCGUUGAAACUGGUGAUC